rnacentral:lncRNA from 1 species
GGUGAGAUUGAAGAUUUUGUGUUUUGAAGAUUGAAUUAUACUUAUUUUUUUUAUUUUUUAUUUUUUUUAGAGUAAGCAAUUUAUUAUAUAGUAAGAAUAGUUGUUAGUGAAGAUUAUUUAUUAUCCAAAAUCAAAGAAAGUUGAAGUUGCAACUUAGGCACUAAGUUUUUAGUGAACUAGCUCAAAUUUAUCUGCAAUUCAAAGUAUAGCUAACUUGGGGAUCUUUUUAGUAGAUUUUUUUCUUUAAAAACAUGUUGAUUUCAUGUUAUAAGACACUUUACUAAUAAAAAUUCUUAUGAUGAGAAUACUUUAUAUAA